rnacentral:pre_miRNA from 1 species
AUGAAGUUUGAAGACUUUAACUUGCAUUCUUAAUGAUUUGAAGAAUUCUACUUACAUACUUGGAGGAUUUGUACACUUCAACU